UAUUUUCAGAUGCAGUCCAUGGCGGCAUCGCAGUCCAUGGGGGUUCUGUGGAUCUAUGCAUGAUCAAAUGGCUUGGGCUUGAUCUCGAGCUUGAUCGAGUGGCUGUGGAAGUGGGAGGCUUGAUCGAGCGGCUGCUAAGGCUGGGACGUACGAUCGGGCUACAGGAUGCUUGAUCAAGCACGAUCGGAUGGGAAACGAUGCUUGCG
rnacentral:lncRNA from 1 species